AUGGUAUACUUCAACCUGCAUUUAGACUUGAUCAGAUCUUCUCUAGCAGUGGAUGGUCUUUGUCAUCAUGAGUCCCUUGGAGUUGCCCUGGAUCCUUGCAUUACUGAUAAUAGAAAUGAGAAUUACAUGUGCACAAUUUGGAGCUCCAAUGUUAUACUCCAACAUAGCAAAACAGCAAAUAAGCAGACCCCUGUUCUGGGUGAGAGCUGGAGAAAUCUGUAAAUUCAUAGGCUGAUAGCUAAUAAUGGCUGUCUCAGAGGAGAAGUAUAUAAGUGUUGUACAUUUUUUGGCCAUAGUUCCUAAAUACAGAUGGAAGACUUAAAAGUGAAUUUUUCCCAGCCCAAGAGAUGGCAGCACUCAGGGUACUGAUACAUUUCCUGCAAAAGCAUCUGGAAAAAGCACACUGUGUGCCCACUCAGCCCAGGAGACCUUCUGAGCAACAUUUCUGAACUCCAACCCAAUAUUUAGAAGAGGAAGAUUCCAACCUCUUACAGAGAAUGAACUAAAAAUUCAGCCUUCUAAGACACCAAGGGACAUUUCCUGAUUAGUAUGCUUCUUGAAGAGGAAAGAUCACCCACACAUUCCUGAGGCUAAAGAAGCAAUGAUUUAGGGAGCAAAGGACAUGGACCUUGUCAUCGUUUCUAUCUCCCACUUUCAAUGAUUCAGACACUGAAAAGUUGAUGGAAAGAAGUGUUUAGAAGAUAAAAAAUUGAUUGUCUUCGGGAACAUGAAUUAUAUUAAGUAAUUUGAACAUUUAGUGUAUUUUCUAUGUCUUAAUGGGCUCCUUUGAAUCAUUUGCACCUGCUUUUUCUGUAGAAUAAAUUAGUGUCCUACUAAAUGAGCA
rnacentral:lncRNA from 1 species